rnacentral:rRNA from 1 species
CCAAUAGCGUAUAUUAAAGUUGUUGCAGUUAAAAAGCUCGUAGUUGAAUUUCGGGAUUGACGUGAUGGUCAUGCCUUAAGGGGUAUGAACUGUCACAGUUGAUUUCUCACCUUCUGGAGAAACUUGAUGUCCUUUAUUGGGUGUCUUGCGGAUCCAGGACCUUUACCUUGAAAAAAUUAGAGUGUUUAAAGCAGGCAUUUUUGCUCGAAUACAUUAGCAUGGAAUAAUAGAAUAGGACGGCAUGGUUCUAUUUUGUUGGUUUCUAGGAUCACCGUAAUGAUUAAUAGGUAUAGUUGGGGGCAUUAUUAUUCAAUUGUCAGAGGUGAAAUUCUUGGAUUUAUUGAAGACUAACUACUGCGAAAGCAUUUGCCAAGGAUGUUUUCAUUAAUCAAGAACGAAAGUUAGGGGAUCGAAGACGAUCAGAUACCGUCGUAGUCUUAACCAUAAACUAUGCCGACUAGGAAUCAGACGAUGUUAAUUUUUUAAUGACUCGUUUGGCACCUUAC